rnacentral:rRNA from 1 species
UACGUAGGUGGCAAGCGUUGUCCGGAAUUAUUGGGCGUAAAGAGCUCGUAGGCGGUUUGUUGCGUCGGCUGUGAAAUCCCGAGGCUCAACCUCGGGUCUGCAGUCGAUACGAGCAAACUAGAGUGUUGCAGGGGAGACUGGAAUUCCUGGUGUAGCGGUGAAAUGCGCAGAUAUCAGGAGGAACACCGGUGGCGAAGGCGGGUCUCUGGGCAACAACUGACGCUGGAGGAGCGAAAGCGUGGGGAGCGAACAGG